UGGGGAAUAUUGGACAAUGGGGGGAACCCUGAUCCAGCAAUGCCGCGUGUGUGAAGAAGGCCUGAGGGUUGUAAAGCACUUUCAGAGGGGAGGAGGACUAUUAGGUUAAGAGCUAGAUAGUUGGACGUUACCCUCAGAAGCAGCACCGGCUAACUACGUGCCAGCAGCCGCGGUAAAACGUAGGAGGCGAGCGUUAUCCGGAGUUACUGGGCGUAAAGCGCGUGUAGGUGGUUGGAUACGUCUGCUGUGAAAUGUCCCGGCUUAACCGGGAGGGUGCGGCAGAUACGGUCUGACUUGAGGGCGACAGAGGAGCGUAGAAUUCCGGGUGUAGUGGUGAAAUGCGUAGAGAUCCGGAGGAAUACCAGUGGCGCAAGCGGCGCUCUGGGUCGCAACUGACACUGAGACGCGAAGGCAUGGGGAGCGAACGGGAUUAGAUACCCAAGUAGUCCCUGAGCGGGCUGGCAAGGCGCAU
rnacentral:rRNA from 1 species